CACCUCUCAGGGUCGCACCUGGAAAGUUUCCAAUACUCUUCCAGAAUUGACUACGGGAGGGAGAGUCAAGCAGAGGCCAAUCCAUUCCAUUCCUAGCUUGGGCAGUGGCUAGCGAGAGGAAGACCAUCUGCUACAAGA